rfam:Triticum aestivum genome assembly, contig: Triticum_aestivum_CS42_TGACv1_scaffold_159140_2DL
UUUUUACUCCCUCCGUCCGGAAAUUCUUGUCAUCAAAAUGAAUAAAAGAGGAUGUAUCUAGUUGUAGAUGCAUCUCUUUUUAUCCAUUUUGAUGACAAGUAUUUUCGGACGGACAACUAGAUG